GGUGAGAGGCGUGCUUGCACCCCGCUGACGACCGGCGCACGGGUGCGGAACGCGUAUGGAACCUGCCCCUGUCAGGGGAAUAGCCCAGAGAAAUUUGGAUUAAUGCCCCAUGGUAACACGGUAUCGCAUGAUAUCGUGUUUAAAGAUUUAUCGGACAGGGAUGGCCAUGCGUACCAUUAGUUAGUUGGUGAGGUAACGGCUCACCAAGACAGCGAUGGUUAGGGGCCCUGAGAGGGGGAUCCCCCACACUGGUACUGAGACACGGACCAGACUCCUACGGGAGGCAGCAGUGAGGAAUAUUGGACAAUGGCCGAAAGGUUGAUCCAGCCAUGCCGCGUGCAGGAUGACUGCCCUAUGGGUUGUAAACUGCUUUUACACGGGAAGAAACCUCCCCUCGUGAGGGGAGCUGACGGUACCGUGAGAAUAAGGACCGGCUAACUCCGUGCCAGCAGCCGCGGUAAUACGGAGGGUCCGAGCGUUAUCCGGAAUCAUUGGGUUUAAAGGGUCCGUAGGCGGGCCGAUAAGUCAGGGGUGAAAGGCCACGGCUCAACCGUGGGACUGCCCUUGAUACUGUCGGUCUUGAGUCGUUGUGGAGUUGCCGGAACAUGUGGUGUAGCGGUGAAAUGCAUAGAUAUCACAUAGAACACCGA
rnacentral:rRNA from 1 species